rnacentral:rRNA from 1 species
AACGAACGCUGGCGGCGUGCUUAAGACAUGCAAGUCGCACGGUGUCAUUUUGGUAGCAAUACUUGGAUGGCAUAGUGGCGCACGGGUGAGUAACACGUGAAUUACAUGCCCUGUAGAGGGGGAUAGCCCAGGGAAACUUGGAUUAAUACCCCAUGGUCUCGCAAGAGUAAAAGGUGGCCGCAAGGCUGUCGCUGCAGGAUUGGUUCGCGCCCUAUCAGCUUGUUGGCGGGGUAACGGCCCACCAAGGCUACGACGGGUACCUGGUCUGAGAGGACGAUCAGGCACACUGGAACUGAGACACGGUCCAGACACCUACGGGUGGCAGCAGUCGAGAAUAAUUCACAAUGGGGGCAACCCUGAUGGUGCAACGCCGCGUGGAGGAUGACGGUCUUCGGAUUGUAAACUCCUGUCAUCCGGGAGUAAGACCUGGGCAUUAACAGUGCACAGGGUUGAUAGUACCGGAAGAGGAAGGGACGGCUAACUUCGUGCCAGCAGCCGCAGUAAAAC